CCUACGGGAGGCAGCAGUGGGGAAUAUUGCACAAUGGGCGAAAGCCUGAUGCAGCAACGCCGCGUGAGCGAUGCAGGCAUUCGGGUCGUAACGCUCUGUCCUCAAGGAAGAUAAUGACGGUACUUGAGGAGGAAGCCCCGGCUAACUACGUGACAGCAGCCGCGGUAAUACGUAGGGGGCUAGCGUUAUCCGGAAUUACUGGGCGUAAAGGGUGCGUAGGGGGUUUCUUAAGUCAGAGGUGAAAGGCUAGGGCUCAACCGUAGUAAGCCUUUGAAACUGGGAGACUUGAGUGCAGGAGAGGAGAGUGGAAGUCCGAGUGUAGCGGUGAAAUGCGUAGAUAUUAGGAGGAACACCAGUUGCGAAGGCGGCUCUCUGGACUGUAACUGACACUGAGGCACGAAAGCGUGGGGAGCAAACAGGAUUAGAUACCCCAGUAGUC
rnacentral:rRNA from 1 species